GAUGAACGCUGGCGGCGUGCCUAACACAUGCAAGUCGAGCGGCAGCGCGGGGUGCUUGCUCCCUGGCGGCGAGCGGCGGACGGCUGAGUAACGCGUGGGAACGUGCCCUAAAGUGAGGAAUAACUGCCCGAAAGGGUAGCUAAUACCGCAUAAAAUCUUCGGAUCAAAGGAUUUAUUCGCUUUGGGAGCGUUUCGCGUCGGUUAAGGAAGUUGGUGUGGUACUCGCACACCAAGCUGACGAUCCGUAGAUGGGCUGAGAGGAUGACCAGCCAGACUGGAACUGAGACACGGUCCAGACUCCUACGGGAGGGAGCAGUGAGGGAUCGUCCACAAUGGGCGAAAGCCUGAUGGAGCAACGCCGCGUGCAGGACGAUGGCCUUCGGGUUGUAAAGUGCUUUUAUAAGUGAGGAAUAUGACGGUACCUUAUGAAUAAGGAUCGGCUAACUACGUG
rnacentral:rRNA from 1 species